rnacentral:misc_RNA from 1 species
AAAAAAAUCCAUUUCUGUUCGUUUGUGGCGGGAAGAGCAGCAGAACCAGCAGAAGAAAGCAACAUCGGCUGAACUAGCUCAAAGCCCCAAAAACCCUAGAAACAGCAAAAUUCCCCAAUUUCUUCGUUCUUGUAUCCAUUUUUUUCUCACAAGUUCUUUCCACCAGAGGAGCCAGAUUGAGAGGAAACUUUAUACAAAAGGAAUUUCCCAAAAUGUACUGGUUAGCUGCUAGAAGCGUCGUCGUUUCACUCCCCAAGUGGCGGUCCUUCUCUCUGCUGCUUCGUACUCCUGCUUCCAAAUGCAUUUCUUUUGCUCCGUCGCCGUUGUUACUCAGGAGCAGACAUGUUGAACGGAUUUAUUGCUUCAAAGACCAUAAAGUUUCAAAAGGGUCUGCAAGAGGUACCAAGAAACUAAAAGCAUCAAGUACUGUUUUGCAUGAUAAGGAUCUUUCUCACAUAAUCUGGUGGAAGGAGAGGCUGCAGCAGUGCAGGAAGCCUUCUACAAUCCAGCUGAUUAAAAGGCUUAUGUAUUCUAAUUUGCUUGGCUUAGAUGUAAACUUGAAAAAUGGGAGUCUGAAAGAAGGAAACCUCAAUUGGGAGAUGUUGCAGUUCAAAUCAAAGUUCCCACGUGAGGUUUUGCUUUGCAGAGUUGGGGAUUUUUAUGAAGCAAUUGGAAUAGAUGCCUGUAUUCUUGUUGAAUAUGCUGGUUUAAAUCCUUUUGGUGGAUUGCGAACGGAUAGCAUUCCAAGAGCUGGAUGCCCAGUCGUGAAUCUUCGGCAAACUUUAGAUGACUUGACAUGUAAUGGGUAUUCUGUGGUACGUAUAGCAAUUAUCUGCAUGCACUCCGCAUUUUUAAUGAAAUUACACAUAGAAGAAUUUAGAAAAUGUGAGCCUUAUUCAUUUGUAGCCACAAUUAUUUCACAUAGCAUAGGAGAUAGAAUGACAAGGUUAUAUCAUAUUAUUAACUUUUGACUGGUUAGUUCGUGCAUCAUUUGUGGCCAUUUUUUUUUUUUUUCAUUUGCAAGUAAUAAAACUUUAUCAGAAGAAGGGUGCAUGAUAUUCUACUCUCUGGUGCAUGAUAAUGCAUGAGCUUGCAAGUAGCAGUAAUGCACUGUGCAUAGCUUGACUGAUAAUUGAUAGGAUGUGAUGUAUGCUGAGAAGGGGGAGGGAUGUAUAAGAAGAGGAAAUCAUAAUUAGGGCUUUAAUAAAUGAAGAUGCAUUUGAACUCUUGGUGUUGCUUGAUGAGGGAAACAAGAUAGAAAAUUAUGAAAAGAUGUAGGGAACAAAAAGAAGCAUGAAAAGAAAAUAUUCUUGAUACACCCUAGAAUACAGUCGUGGUUACAGGAAAGGGCACUUAGACUAAUGCUAGGAAACAAUUGUUACUUCAUCUCAUGAAUUUGGUAGUAAUUUUUGCUUGCCUAAGGUUAACAUUGAUAGGGAUCUACUUUCCACUGUUUGAUGAGUUUGUUUGCUGAUGUUUGUAUUCUUGUUUGCCUAGUGCAUAGUGGAGGAAGUUCAGGGUCCAACCCAAGCUCGUUCUCGCAAAGGCCGGUUUAUAUCUGGGCAUGCACAUCCAGGCAGUCCAUAUGUGUUUGGACUUGUUGGGGUAGAUCAUGAUCUUGACUUUCCAGAGCCAAUGCCUGUAGUUGGGAUAUCUCGUUCUGCAAGGGGUUAUUUGAUAGUUUCAGUGCUAGAGACUAUGAAAACAUAUUCAUCAGAGGAUGGUCUUACUGAGGAGGCUUUGGUUGCCAAGCUCCGUACUUGUCGCUACCAUCAUUUAUUUCUUCAUACAUCUUUAAGACACAAUCCCUCAGGCACUUGUCGUUGGGGAGAAUUUGGCGAAGGUGGCCUUUUAUGGGGAGAAUGCAAUGCCAGACAUUUUGAAUGGUUUGAAGGCAAUCCUGUCACUGAGCUUCUGUAUAAGGUCAGGGAGCUUUAUGGUAUUGACGAUGGAGUUGUGUUCAGAAAUGUCACUGUGCCUUCAGAAAAUAGGCCCCGUCCUUUGCACCUUGGAACGGCAACACAAAUUGGUUUUGUUUAACUUCAUUUAGACAGAUUGAUGUUCAAUUAUUUAUUUAGUGCCACCCAAUAUUACAAGUAUUUCCUACUUUCAGGUGCCAUACCGACUGAAGGAAUACCUUGUUUACUGAAGGUGUUACUUCCAUCAAAUUGUAUGGGUCUACCUGUUUUAUAUGUAAGAGAUCUUCUUCUGAACCCUCCUGCUUAUGAAAUUGCAUCCACAAUUCAAGCAACAUGCAAACUUAUGAGCAAUGUAACAUGCUCAAUCCCGGAAUUUACUUGCAUUUCGCCUGCGAAGCUUGUGAAGCUACUCGAACUGAGGGAGGCCAAUCAUAUUGAGUUUUGCAGAAUAAAAAAUGUGCUUGAUGAAAUAUUACACAUGCAUAGGAACUCUGAGCUGUGUGAAAUCCUAAAAUCAUUAAUGGAUCCUACAUGGGUGGCAACUGGUUUGAAAGUUGACUUUGAAACAUUGGUUAAUGAAUGUGAAUGGGCUUCAGGUAGAAUUUGUGAAAUGAUCUCUCUAGACGGUGAAAUUGACCAAAAGUUAAGUUCUUCUUCUGUCAUUCCUAGUGAAUUUUUUGAGGAUAUGGAGUGUUUGUGGAAAGGUCGUGUGAAGAGGGUCCAUAUAGAGGAAGAAUUUGCAGAAGUGGAAAGGGCAGCACAGGCCUUAUCUUCAGCAGUCACCGAAGAUUUCCUUCCUAUAAUUUCAAGAAUAAAAGCCACCACAGCCCCCCUUGGGGGCCCCAAAGGAGAGAUAUUGUAUGCUCGAGAGCAUGAAGCCGUUUGGUUUAAGGGAAAACGGUUUGCACCAGCAAUUUGGGCUGGUACCCCUGGGGAAGAACAAAUUAAACAGCUUAAACCUGCUAUAGAUUCUAAAGGUAGAAAAGUUGGUGAGGAAUGGUUCACUACCAUCAAGGUGGAGGAUGCUUUAAUGAGGUAUCAUGGUGCAAGUGACAAGGCAAAAGCAAAGGUCUUGGAAUUGUUGAGGGGACUUUCUGCUGAGUUACAGUCGAAGAUCAAUAUCCUUGUCUUUGCAUCAAUGCUGCUUGUUAUUUCGAAGGCAUUAUUUGCUCAUGUGAGUGAAGGAAGACGAAGGAAAUGGGUUUUCCCCACUCUUUUCAGGUUUAAUGAGUCCUCCAAGGAUGUGAAGUUAGUGGAUGGAGCUAACAGGAUGAAAUUAAUUGGCCUGUCUCCAUAUUGGCUUGAAGCAGCUGAAGGCAGUGCUGUACGGAAUACAGUUGAUAUGCAUUCCUUAGUUCUUUUGACAGGACCGAAUGGAGGUGGAAAAUCUAGUUUGCUCCGAUCAAUUUGUGCAUCUGCAUUACUUGGAAUUUGUGGAUUCAUGGUGCCUGCAGAAUCAGCCAUGAUUCCUCACUUUGAUUCCAUUAUGCUUCACAUGAAAUCUUAUGAUAGUCCUGCAGAUGGAAAAAGUUCAUUCCAGGUGGAAAUGUCAGAAAUCCGGUCCCUUAUAACUGGAGCCUCAUCAAGAAGUCUUGUACUUGUAGAUGAAAUAUGUCGAGGGACAGAAACAGCAAAAGGGACUUGUAUUGCUGGAAGCAUUGUUGAAACUCUUGAUAACAUUGGUUGUCUUGGUAUUGUAUCUACUCAUCUGCAUGGAAUAUUUGAUUUGCCACUUGAUACCAAGAAGACUGAAUGCAAAGCCAUGGGAACAGAAUGUGUUGAUGGACAAACAAGACCAACUUGGAGGUUGAUAGAUGGGAUCUGCAGGGAAAGCCUUGCUUUUGAAACAGCAAAGAGGGAAGGAAUCCCUGAAACAAUAAUCCAAAGAGCUGAAGACUUGUAUUUUUCUGCUUAUGCAGUUGAAGUUUCUUCAGAAAGGAUUGAAGAAAGAAAAAAACAGUUCUAUUCUGGUGGGACUGUUAAUAGCUUCCAUGAAGCCCAUUUUCCACCAAGGGGAACUACAGCAGGAGCUCUUGAUCACAAUACCAAUUCAGGAAAGGUGGAAGUUAUAGAGAGGAAGGAUGUUGAGAGUGCUAUUACCAUAAUAUGCCAGAGGAAGCUGAUUGAGCUUUACAAACAGAAAAACACAUCAGAACUUUUAGCUGUGCACUGUGUUGCUAUUGGUGCCAGGGAACAGCCACCUCCAUCAACAAUAGGUUCUUCAUGUGUGUAUGUGAUGCUGAGACCGGACAAGAGACUGUAUGUUGGAGUGACGGAUGAUCUUGAAGGCCGAGUCCGUGCGCAUCGAUCAAAGGAGGGGAUGCAUCAUGUCUCCUUCCUUUAUUUUAUAGUUCAAGGAAAAAGCAUUGCUUGCCAACUGGAAACCCUUCUCAUCAACCAGCUCCCUAAUAAAGGCUUCCAAUUAACUAAUGUGGCUGAUGGUAAACAUCGGAAUUUUGGCACAGCCAAUCUCUCCCUGGAAAGCAUGCCUGUUCAUUAAUACCUCUACCGCCUUGACCUUCCAUUUUGUAAAAGCCACUUAGAAGAGAAAUGGUUUUCCUGUCUUUUGUAUGAGGAAAAUGGGGGAGGAAUGUACCAUAUAUGAUAAUAGGAUGAUAUGGAAUUAAGUAGCAGUGGUUGCAGCAAUUUUGUUUUGAUGUCAGUUGCAUCUCCCACUGGACAUGAUCAAUUCUUGCUACAGAUUGAUGCGUUUUGUGAUGUAACAAGUUGUUCUUGUAUAUACAUGCUCGCAUACUUAGUAAUUUCCGUGGGAAAUCCCAGUAUUCACUCUGUGGUGUCAAUUGCGGUAACAGUUUAGCAAAUGUUCUUCGUUUGGAGUGUGUGUGGGCUGGAUUUUGGAAGAGGGCCUUUUUCUUCCCACUACAGCAUUAUACUGUAAAAGCCUUCUUUGCUAUUAUAAACCUCAUCAACUUUACAA